AGACUGUGGGGCCUGUUGCUGUCCAGACACAAGGAGACCCAGGUCUGUCCCUAGAGGCACUGGGUAUGAUGGGAAGUGUACAGCUUCCUCUGCCUGACCUGUGCCUACUGUGGAGAGUGGCCCAUAUGGGUGGAAACAGUAACCAGAGGGUGAGGAAACAGAAGCAACUGCCCACAGGAAAUAUGCUGCAGCUUCCUCCACAGACACGGAGUCCUAGAAGAGCCCGACUCCAUGGAAACAGCAUGUGUGCACAGCAUUCUUCGAGGCCCACUCCAAUUCUCCUUAGAAGCUGUUGCACCGCUGUGGAUUUUCAUGGUGCUCAAUCCUAGUCUGAAAUCUCUUUAAAACAAAGCAGCAUCAUUGAAUCACAGACCAUCAGAAAAGAAAAGCUCCUGACUGGGCAAAUGCCUUCAGUGCACAGAGGGGGCUUAUAGAAGAGUCAAGGCAUUGCUUGCUGAAGGCCAUCCUACCUAGUUAUGGGUAGAGGGAAUAUUCCAGUUUCACAUUGGACUUGCUAGUGUGGUGUUUACCUACAAGGUUGACAUCACAUCAGUUGCAUUGAACUUGAUUAAAGCUGUGCUCCAAUGGCUCCCACGAAUGCCCUAAAACUUGGGAAAAUAAAAAACAACAACAACAACAACAACAAAAAAAGCCAAAAUGAACCACUUCCA
ensembl:lincRNA Gm7596 predicted gene 7596